ensembl:lncRNA
CACACACACACACACACACACACACACACACACACACAGGACGAAUACAGCUCUUAACGUGAGGGAGUAGCACACUCACACACACACACACACACACACACACACACACACACACACACAGGACAAAUACAGCUCUUAACAUGAGGGAGUCACACACACACCCACACAUGGGACGAAUACAGCUCUUAACGAGGUGACCUGGAGGUCUCGUAUCGCUAACCUGCAGAAGUCCGAUCUUCUGGGCCUCACCAAUCCAGCGGGAGCCGUGCGUCCAGAGAGAAGAGAUCCUGAGUCUCUGAUGGCUGAUCUGGACGAACGAGGGAUCAGGGAGCGGAGGCGAGCAAGAGCCCAGAGACGAGCGAGAGCAGGAGAGAACUUUGACCAUGAGCUGAGUGGAGAGGAAGGAAACGGGCAGGACCCACAGACGGACCGGCAAACGAGCGACAGGUCUCACCAGUCUUUCAAUGACUGUAACGUAGGAAGAGGAUCAGAAACAAAGGACUACAAGAAGUUGUUUGAUGAUCUGUCUCGGGAGAACACUGUUCUUCAGUCCCAGCUGCAGGACACCCAGAGGACCGUCACCCAGACCAGAAUGGACCUGGACAAAGCCACACAGAGACAGGACCGCUUCAGUGACUGUUCCGCCCUCCUGGAGAUGGAGAAGAAGGAGAGGAGGAUGUUGGAACGUCGUGUGGCAGAAUUGGAGGAGGAGCUAAAAGUGCUGGGGGAUUUAAGAGCAGAUAACCAGCGGCUGAAGGAUGAGAACGGCGCUCUCAUCCGGGUCAUCAGCAAACUUUCCAAAUAGACGGGGAGAUCGAGGGAGAGGAAGAACGACAGAAGAAAUAAAAAAGAAAGACACUCUCUCUCCUCCUCUGUACACACACACACACACUCCCUCACUCUCUCUCUCUCUCUCUCCUCCUCUAUACGUAUACACACACACACACACACACACAUACACUCCUCCUCCACAUACAUACACACAUUCUCUCCCUUCCACACACACACACACAUACACUCUGCCUCUUUCCUCACACACUGUUCCAGUGCCAAAGAAAGAAUGAGAGAGAGAGAGAGAGAGAGAAACAUGGAAGGAGAGCGAGAGAGAGAAGAAUGUCUUGUUUGUACCAGCAGCUGAAUUACAGACUGUUUCUACGAUAUAUUUGUGUGUGUGUGUGCGCACGCUCACUGCCUCCACACACACACACACACACACACACACACACAUACACACACACUCAUCUAGGACCUGCCAACAGUGGCGACCAAUUCAGCACGACCAAUCAGAGGAGAGAGGCUGGAGGAGAGGCACACACACCUCAGAAUAUAACACCUCUCUCCCUGCCACAUGCUCACACACACACACACACACACACACACACACACAUACACAUAUUGUCACAGUUGCUGUCCUAGGUGUUUGACAAGUCCCACACACACUCCACAUGCACUUCACACGCGUUCCAUCCGUCAGGAGCAGUUGAAACCUGAGGAUCACCAGCACUGGUAGUGUGUUUUAACCACACACACACACACACACACACACACACACACACACACCCUUAGUAGAGGUUUUAACAUGAAUGCACAGGCGGGAUCAGUAUUGAUUUUAUGUAGCACCCUCUCACUUACCAUGAGCUCCUUCUUCAAACAACCAGCUCCUGUUCAAAUCAAACCCAAAUACACACACACACACACACACAUUCCCACACACUGUUUUUUAUUUAUAUCUCUGCACCUAGGUCUACAACAGGAGUCUGGGCAGACUCGGCCCCCAGAGACAAAAGGAAAUGUUCUUAUUUCACCUCCAUCGUCAGGAGCCUGAGGAGUUCACUAGCGGAGUCUUUAGCCUGAGGAGUUCACUAGCGGAGUUCACUAGCGGAGUCUUUAGCCUGAGGAGUUCACUAGCGGAGUUCACUAGCGGAGUCUUUAGCCUGAGGAGUUCACUAGCGGAGUUCACUAGCGGAGUUCACUAGCAGAGUUCACUAGCGGAGUCUUUAGCCUGAGGAGUUCACUAGCGGAGUCUUUAGCCUGAGGAGUUCACUAGCGGAGUUCACUAGAGAAGUUCACUAGCGGAGUCUUUAGCCUGAGGAGUUCACUAGCGGAGUUCACUAGCGGAGUUCACUAGCAGAGUUCACUAGCAGAGUUCACUAGCGGAGUCUUUAGCCUGAGGAGUUCACUAGCGGAGUCUUUAGCCUGAGGAGUUCACUAGCGGAGUUCACUAGCGGAGUUCACUAGCAGAGUUCACUAGAGGAGUUCACUAGCGGAGUCUUUAGCCUGAGGAGUUCACUAGCAGAGUUCACUAGCGGAGUCUUUAGCAGCGUCACUGUUUUUAGCACACAGCGGGAAAACCAGGAAAUGGUAAAAAGCUGACUGACGUUAUUGGGUUUGCACAUGGGUGAGGAGCAGCUAGUUCCUCUCUUGCACGCACACGCACACACGCACGCACGCACGCGCACACACACACACACACACACACACACACACACACUGAAAGUCACCGCACCGUCCAUGGAAGGAGCCCAGAAGGGCGUGGCUCGACCGAGCGUCUGUUCACCAAUCAGGAGUCUCUCCGUCCGCCGCAGAUCUGGGGCUAGAGUUGAAAACACAGAGUUUGACGUGAAAAUGCCUAUUAAUAAUAUGCUAUGCAUUGUUUUGACUUCUUUUUCAAAUAGUUCUUAUUACUAUGGAUACCAAGGUAAAGAAUGCUAUUUUCCUACAUUUUGGUCAUGGUCCGUUCAUGUUUUAUGUUGGUUGACAACUCCUUCCGACAAUUUUUUUCCAGGGAAGACGUAUUUUUAUUAUUAUUAUUAUAAUGAUUAUUAUUAUUAUGAUUAUUAUUAUGAUAUGUACAAAUAUGGUUCCUAUGAAGUGCAAGCCUUUGUGAAUGGAAACUUGUUAGUCUCCCAUUUCUUUUACACGUUUUUUCUAAUAUAUGAUAUGGAUGUCUGCACUUAAUAAAAGCCAUUGUGUGUAGAACCUGGCCUGGCCUGCCUUUUGUGUGUGUGUGUGUGUGUGUGUGUACGCGUGUGCACAUGAUUAUCAAUGAUUAGUGCAGCAAAUGUGUACACACAUGGCCACUGUUUUGGGUGUGUGUGUGUGUGUGAAAUGUGUUAUGAAAUAACGUCCUAGAGCACAGACACCCAAAACUGUCAUUAGGAUUUGAGUAGAAGACAGUUGAACCAGAUGAAAUGAAACUAGUCAGCCCCACUCUUAACAUACACUAGUACUUUAGAACAGCCCCACUCUAAGCAUACCCAAAACUAAACCGUAUAAAACUUUGCGGUCCUGAUACGGCCCGGUUCUGGCCCUGAUGUGGC